GAUGAACGCUGGCGGCGUGCUUAACACAUGCAAGUCGAACGAUGAACCGGGUGCUUGCACUCGGGGAUUAGUGGCGAACGGGAGAGUAACACGUGAGCAACCUGCCCCUGACUCUGGGAUAAGCGCUGGAAACGGCGUCUAAUACUGGAUAUGUCCCGUCACCGCAUGGUGUGCGGGUGGAAAGAUUUUUCGGUUGGGAAUGGGCUCGCGGCCUAUCAGCUUGUUGGUGAGGUAAUGGCUCACCAAGGCGUCGACGGGUAGCCGGCCUGAGAGGGUGACCGGCCACACUGGGACUGAGACACGGCCCAGACUCCUACGGGAGGCAGCAGUGGGGAAUAUUGCACAAUGGGCGGAAGCCUGAUGCAGCAACGCCGCGUGAGGGAUGACGGCCUUCGGGUUGUAAACCUCUUUUAGCAGGGAAGAAGCGAGAGUGACGGUACCUGCAGAAAAAGCACCGGCUAACUACGUGCCAGCAGCCGCCGUAA
rnacentral:rRNA from 1 species